rnacentral:rRNA from 1 species
UUAAGCGACUAAGCGUACACGGUGGAUGCCCUGGCAGUCAGAGGCGAUGAAGGACGUGCUAAUCUGCGAUAAGCGUCGGUAAGGUGAUAUGAACCGUUAUAACCGGCGAUUUCCGAAUGGGGAAACCCAGUGUGUUUCGACACACUAUCAUUAACUGAAUCCAUAGGUUAAUGAGGCGAACCGGGGGAACUGAAACAUCUAAGUACCCCGAGGAAAAGAAAUCAACCGAGAUUCCCCCAGUAGCGGCGAGCGAACGGGGAGCAGCCCAGAGUCUGAAUCAGCUUGUGUGUUAGUGGAACGGUCUGGAAAGUCCGACGGUACAGGGUGAUAGUCCCGUACACCAAAAUGCACAGGUUGUGAACUCGAAGAGUAGGGCGGGACACGUGGUAUCCUGUCUGAAUAUGGGGGGACCAUCCUCCAAGGCUAAAUACUCCUGACUGACCGAUAGUGAACCAGUACCGUGAGGGAAAGGCGAAAAGAACCCCGGCGAGGGGAGUGAAAAAGAACCUGAAACCGUGUACGUACAAGCAGUGGGAGCACCUUCGGGUGUGACUGCGUACCUUUUGUAUAAUGGGUCAGCGACUUAUAUUCUGUAGCAAGGUUAACCGUAUAGGGGAGCCGCAGGGAAACCGAGUCUUAACUGGGCGUUAAGUUGCAGGGUAUAGACCCGAAACCCGGUGAUCUAGCCAUGGGCAGGUUGAAGGUUGGGUAACACUAACUGGAGGACCGAACCGACUAAUGUUGAAAAAUUAGCGGAUGACUUGUGGCUGGGGGUGAAAGGCCAAUCAAACCGGGAGAUAGCUGGUUCUCCCCGAAAGCUAUUUAGGUAGCGCCUCGUGAACUCAUCUUCGGGGGUAGAGCACUGUUUCGGCUAGGGGGUCAUCCCGACUUACCAACCCGAUGCAAACUACGAAUACCGAAGAAUGUUAUCACGGGAGACACACGGCGGGUGCUAACGUCCGUCGUGAAGAGGGAAACAACCCAGACCGCCAGCUAAGGUCCCAAAGUCAUGGUUAAGUGGGAAACGAUGUGGGAAGGCACAGACAGCCAGGAUGUUGGCUUAGAAGCAGCCAUCAUUUAAAGAAAGCGUAAUAGCUCACUGGUCGAGUCGGCCUGCGCGGAAGAUGUAACGGGGCUAAACCAUGCACCGAAGCUGCGGCAGCGACACUAUGUGUUGUUGGGUAGGGGAGCGUUCUGUAAGCCUGCGAAGGUGUGCUGUGAGGCAUGCUGGAGGUAUCAGAAGUGCGAAUGCUGACAUAAGUAACGAUAAAGCGGGUGAAAAGCCCGCUCGCCGGAAGACCAAGGGUUCCUGUCCAACGUUAAUCGGGGCAGGGUGAGUCGACCCCUAAGGCGAGGCCGAAAGGCGUAGUCGAUGGGAAACAGGUUAAUAUUCCUGUACUUGGUGUUACUGCGAAGGGGGGACGGAGAAGGCUAUGUUAGCCGGGCGACGGUUGUCCCGGUUUAAGCAUGUAGGCUGGUUAUCCAGGCAAAUCCGGAUAAUCAAGGCUGAGGUGUGAUGACGAGGCACUACGGUGCUGAAGUAACAAAUGCCCUGCUUCCAGGAAAAGCCUCUAAGCAUCAGGUAACAUCAAAUCGUACCCCAAACCGACACAGGUGGUCAGGUAGAGAAUACCAAGGCGCUUGAGAGAACUCGGGUGAAGGAACUAGGCAAAAUGGUGCCGUAACUUCGGGAGAAGGCACGCUGGUGUGUAGGUGAAGUCCCUGCGGAUGGAGCUGAGACCAGUCGAAGAUACCAGCUGGCUGCAACUGUUUAUUAAAAACACAGCACUGUGCAAACACGAAAGUGGACGUAUACGGUGUGACGCCUGCCCGGUGCCGGAAGGUUAAUUGAUGGGGUUAUCCGUAAGGAGAAGCUCUUGAUCGAAGCCCCGGUAAACGGCGGCCGUAACUAUAACGGUCCUAAGGUAGCGAAAUUCCUUGUCGGGUAAGUUCCGACCUGCACGAAUGGCGUAAUGAUGGCCAGGCUGUCUCCACCCGAGACUCAGUGAAAUUGAACUCGCUGUGAAGAUGCAGUGUACCCGCGGCAAGACGGAAAGACCCCGUGAACCUUUACUAUAGCUUGACACUGAACAUUGAGCCUUGAUGUGUAGGAUAGGUGGGAGGCUUUGAAGCGUGGACGCCAGUCUGCGUGGAGCCAACCUUGAAAUACCACCCUUUAAUGUUUGAUGUUCUAACGUGGACCCGUGAUCCGGGUUGCGGACAGUGUCUGGUGGGUAGUUUGACUGGGGCGGUCUCCUCCCAAAGCGUAACGGAGGAGCACGAAGGUUAGCUAAUCCUGGUCGGACAUCAGGAGGUUAGUGCAAUGGCAUAAGCUAGCUUGACUGCGAGCGUGACGGCGCGAGCAGGUGCGAAAGCAGGUCAUAGUGAUCCGGUGGUUCUGAAUGGAAGGGCCAUCGCUCAACGGAUAAAAGGUACUCCGGGGAUAACAGGCUGAUACCGCCCAAGAGUUCAUAUCGACGGCGGUGUUUGGCACCUCGAUGUCGGCUCAUCACAUCCUGGGGCUGAAGUAGGUCCCAAGGGUAUGGCUGUUCGCCAUUUAAAGUGGUACGCGAGCUGGGUUUAGAACGUCGUGAGACAGUUCGGUCCCUAUCUGCCGUGGGCGCUGGAGAAUUGAGGGGGGCUGCUCCUAGUACGAGAGGACCGGAGUGGACGCAUCACUGGUGUUCGGGUUGUCAUGCCAAUGGCACUGCCCGGUAGCUAAAUGCGGAAGAGAUAAGUGCUGAAAGCAUCUAAGCACGAAACUUGCCCCGAGAUGAGUUCUCCCUGACCCUUUAAGGGUCCUGAAGGAACGUUGAAGACGACGACGUUGAUAGGCCGGGUGUGUAAGCGCAGCGAUGCGUUGAGCUAACCGGUACUAAUGAACCGUGAGGCUUAACCUU